GUGGUGAACGAAGCCAUCGCAGGAACCGCCGUCUAGAAAGGGUUCAGGUCGCCAUUGAUGGGGCUAGCCGGAACUGUUCCGAGGUUUUUGCCGUUGAUUCUGAUUUUGUUCUGUUUCGGUUGAAGCCGUUGCUGCCUCUAGUCGCCGGAAAACCACCACUACUCCUUCUACCCCGCCCCUGUUUCGUUAGGGUUUGCUACUUUUCAUGGUGUUGAUGUUGCUGCUGUUACUACUGCUGGUUCUAAUGCCAUUGCUGCUGUUGCUGUUAAUAUAGAAUAAGUGGGUUUGUCGCCUUUGCCUUCUUGGAUUGAGUUCCGAUGAU